AUGGAGCUUCUCAAGAUGGCGCGGCAACGUACGGUGGCCAUGGCGUUGGUCGUCGGAGUCUUGGCGUCCAUCACUAUCGAUCAGGUGCAAUCCAUCGGCGUGUGCAACGGCAAGGUAGGCGACAACCUGCCAUCGCGGGCCGAGGUGGUGCAGCUCUACAAGUCCCUGGGAAUCGGCGCGAUGCGCAUCUACGAGCCGGAACCCGAGACGCUCCUGGCCCUCGACGGCACCGAGAUCGACCUCAUCAUGGACGUGGGUGGCGGCUUCGCCGCCAUCGCCUCCGACCCUGACGCCGCGGCCGACUGGGUCCGUGACAACGUGCUUGCCUUCCCGGGCGUCCGCAUCAAGUACAUUGCGGCCGGCAACGAGGUGGAGGGCAGCGACACGGACAGCAUCGUCCCGGCCAUCAAGAACCUCAACGCCGCGCUCGCCGCGGCCAGCCGCACUGACGUCAAGGUGUCCACGGCGGUCAAGAUGAGCGUGCUCGGCUCCUCCUCGCCGCCCUCCGAGGGCGCGUUCAAGGACGCGUACAUGACGGAGGUGGCCAAGAUGCUCAAGGCCACCGGAGCCCCGCUCCUCGCCAACGUGUACCCCUACUUCGCCAAAAGGGACACCCCGGACAUCAACCUCGGCUUCGCGCUCUUCCAGCAAAGCCCCAGCACGGUCAGCGACAGCGGUCUCACCUACACGAACCUCUUCGACGCCAUGGUCGACGCGCUUUACUCGGCCUUGGAGAAGGCGGGUGCGCCGGAGGUGCCCAUCGUAGUCUCGGAGAGCGGCUGGCCGUCAGCCGGCGACGACCUGGCAACCGUCGCUAACGCGCAGGCGUACAACCAGGGGCUGAUCGACCACGUCGGCAAAGGCACGCCCAAGAGGGCGGUGCCGCUGGAGGCGUACAUCUUCGCCAUGUUCAACGAGAACCAAAAGGGAGGGGCCGUGACAGAGAAGAACUUUGGGCUGUUCAACGGCCCCGACAAGACGCCGGUGUACCCUAUAAAGUUCAACAAUUAG
rnacentral:rRNA from 1 species